GGGCAUUCAGUACUUCCCAGUAAAGCCCCUAAGUGCCUCUGUGUCUCAGGAUUCUAUUUGAACUGAGCAAAGCUGGCUAGUGUUUGAGUACUCUUCAGAUAAGCUCUGGGAAAUCAGGCAAGAAUAGUGUUUCAGAUUAUUGAGAAAGAUGAAGAAAUUGCUUGAUGUCACUGCGCUGAUGAUGGGAAGACCCUUAUUUCUCCUUUCUUCUCUUCCUCGUAUGUGGAACUAGAGAGGUGGGGACCAUUCUGGUGGAAAGAAGCCCCUGCUGGUGAUGGACCUACUUGCUUCAUGGCUCUUCUGCACAGGAAGAAAACAGAUGUGGAGUUUCCUUUCUUUAAGUUACUCUUUAAGCAAACUUAUUCUAGCCAUGAGUUUCUUCACGUAAUGAAAUUCCACCUACGGUAAAUCUUCUGAGUUCCUGGCUGUUCCUGAGGUUUAACUCUUCCAAGUCUGGCUCUGCUGAUCUGUCUCCCUCUGUAUCAAUUUAAUUGCAACUCUUUAUGAGAUUGGUAUAGCGGUUCCAUCCUGGAUGUCCUGGACAGGAAUUUUCUUCUGUGUGUGUCAAAUCCAGUUGGAUGAAUUAUGAAUUAAUUAGGUCAGCUCUAUUCUUUAUAGUUCUCUGCUCUAGCUCUAGCACCAAGUUAGGUGCUGUCAGUAAGAAGAAACUGUUUGACCUACUGCAUCUACCUAAGCAACAGAAAGUAGUCUGAACAGAACAUCAGCAGAGAGGUGGUGAUUGUAGUAAAAGCACGAUGAACUGAUGUGUGCAGGAAGCCAACAGACCUUCCCUGGAAGCUUUGGUCAAAUUCUAACUGUCCAGACACAAUAUUAGAGAGCUUUCUCUAGGUACUCCUAUCUUCAAGGUUCUGGGGAUUUUUCCUAUGUAUUUUGAAGUCCUUUCCUUGUGGCAGCCUUUUCUGUCUUAAGAAUAUUUAUCAGCUAUUUGGGAACUUUGUAUUACAUCUGGAAACAAACAAACACAAACCCUGCUAAUUUAUUGAGUAAAAAAGAGCAGAGCAUCUCCUGCAUAAACUUUCCAACCUCUAUUUCAUGCCACUGUGCCUAAAGUACAACAUUUUCUGUGGAAUAUGAGAUCUAUGUCUUCUCCAGGCAGAAGCUGUCCAGCAAGUUUAUAAUAAUGACUGUGAAGUCACCAGAUGCAAUCAUCUGAAUCCCCUCUGCCUGUAAAUCACGAAGGCAUUUUAUCUUUGUGAAAUUAAACUUAAUUCCAAGCAGACAAAUUCAGCUUGAAUAGUUGAUUUGUCUGAGGAAAGCCUUUGAGAACAUACCAAAGAACUGCUAACUUUGUACUUAAGAUAUUAGAGUACUACGAUUUACCUAGUUAUGCUCUUCUUCUUAAAGAGCUC
rnacentral:lncRNA from 7 species